rnacentral:rRNA from 1 species
AUUGAACGCUGGCGGCAGGCCUAACACAUGCAAGUCGAACGGUAACAGGAAACAGCUUGCUGUUUCGCUGACGAGUGGCGGACGGGUGAGUAAUGUCUGGGAAACUGCCUGAUGGAGGGGGAUAACUACUGGAAACGGUAGCUAAUACCGCAUAACGUCGCAAGACCAAAGAGGGGGACCUUCGGGCCUCUUGCCAUCGGAUGUGCCCAGAUGGGAUUAGCUAGUAGGUGGGGUAACGGCUCACCUAGGCGACGAUCCCUAGCUGGUCUGAGAGGAUGACCAGCCACACUGGAACUGAGGCACGGUCCAGACUCCUACGGGAGGCAGCAGUGGGGAAUAUUGCACAAUGGGCGCAAGCCUGAUGCAGCCAUGCCGCGUGUAUGAAGAAGGCCUUCGGGUUGUAAAGUACUUUCAGCGGGGAUGAAGGGAGUAAAGUUAAUACCUUUGCUCAUUGACGUUACCCGCAGAAGAAGCACCGGCUAACUCCGUG